rnacentral:rRNA from 1 species
GACAGAGGUGCCAAGCGUUAGGCGGAAUCAUUGGGCGUAAAGAGCGUGUAGGCGGCUCGGUAAGUCUGCUGUGAAAGUCCAGGGCUCAACCCUGGAAUGCCGGUGGAAACUGUCGGGCUCGAGUCCGGAAGAGGCGAGUGGAAUUCCUGGUGUAGCGGUGAAAUGCGCAGAUAUCAGGAGGAACACCAAUGGCGAAGGCAGCUCGCUGGGACGGUACUGACGCUGAGACGCGAAAGCGUGGGGAGCAAACAGG